AGAAAAGACAGUGCAGCUUAGUAAGGCUGGCACAGAGAAAACGCACCUGUAUGGCUGGCAUGGGGAUGGCACGAGUCGGGGAGGCAGAGGAGCCGUUGCCGAUGGAGGCAGAGCUGACAGACAGAAAGCAAGGCUGCGGGGAGCGCGCCGCUCAGCACGCCUCUGCCCGUGUGGGUUUGUGCUAGUGCCGUGGCAAGAAACCAACCAUGCUUGCAGGCUUGCCUGCCUUGAAGAGUACUCGGAACGCAUCAAACUAUCUUGUGGGUUUUCUUUGGGUAAAAAACCUUUUAGCCUGUAUCAGCAAAGUGUCACGCUAAAGCAGAAAGCACAUGUCAUGGAAAAGUAUGACAAGAAACACAAAACUGAAACAUCAAAUCCAUGGAAAGGUGAGGUGUCUGUGGGUUUUGAGGGAUGCUCUCCAACCCUAAAGUUAUGAA
rnacentral:lncRNA from 1 species